rnacentral:rRNA from 1 species
AGCGAACGCUGGCGGCAGGCUUAACACAUGCAAGUCGAGCGGAUGUAGCAAUACAUCAGCGGCAGACAGGUGAGUAACACGUGGGAACGUACCUUUUGGUUCGGAACAACACAGGGAAACUUGUGCUAAUACCGGAUAAGCCCUUACGGGGAAAGAUUUAUCGCCGAAAGAUCGGCCCGCGUCUGAUUAGCUAGUUGGUGAGGUAACGGCUCACCAAGGCGACGAUCAGUAGCUGGUCUGAGAGGAUGAUCAGCCACAUUGGGACUGAGACACGGCCCAAACUCCUACGGGAGGCAGCAGUGGGGAAUAUUGGACAAUGGGCGCAAGCCUGAUCCAGCCAUGCCGCGUGAGUGAUGAAGGCCCUAGGGUUGUAAAGCUCUUUGUGCGGGAAGAUAAUGACGGUACCGCAAGAAUAA